UGUUAUUGAUGCUACAAUGUUCAAUCCUUGUGGGUAUUCAAUGAAUGGGAUGAAAUCGGAUGGAACUUACUGGACUAUUCACAUCACUCCAGAACCAGAGUUUUCUUAUGUUAGUUUU